rnacentral:rRNA from 1 species
UACGUAGGGGGCAAGCGUUGUCCGGAUUUAUUGGGCGUAAAGAGCGUGUAGGCGGCUAUACAGGUCCGCUGUGAAAACUGGAGGCUUAACCUCCAGACGUCGAUGGAAACCGUAUGGCUAGAGUCCGGAAGAGGAGAGUGGAAUUCCUGGUGUAGCGGUGAAAUGCGCAGAUAUCAGGAAGAACACCCGUGGCGAAGGCGGCUCUCUGGGACGGUACUGACGCUGAGACGCGAAAGCGUGGGGAGCGAACAGG